rnacentral:tRNA from 1 species
GCCCUCGUAGCUCAGUGGACAGAGUGCCUGCGUCCGAAGCAGGUGGUCGCCGGUUCGACUCCGGCCGGGGGUG